AGUGGCGCACGGGUGCGUAACACGUAGCUAACAUCCCCCUUCGCUGGGGAUAACUCCGGGAAACCGGAGCUAAUACCGAAUAUUCUGUCGAGGUCUGCGGGCCUUGCCGGGAAAGCCGUAAGGCGCGGAGGGAUUGGGCUGCGGCCUAUUAACUAGUUGGUGAGGUAACGGCUCACCAAGGUUACGAUAGGUAGCUGGUCUGAGAGGACGACCAGCCACACUGGAACUGACACACGGUCCAGACUCCCACGGGAGGCAGCAGUUGGGAAUAUUGGACAAUGGGCGAAAGCCUGAUCCAGCAAUCCCGCGUGAAUGAUGAAGGCCUUCGGGUCGUAAAGUUCUUUUAGUGGGGACGAACACAAUGACGGUACCCACAGAAAAAGCACCGGCUAACUCCGUGCCAGCAGCCGCGGUAAUACGGAGGGUGCAAGCGCUGCUCGGAAUCAUUGGGCGUAAAGCGCGUGUAGGCGGCUGGACAAGUCUGAUGUGAAAUCCUGGAGCUUAACUCCAGAACUGCAUCGGAUACUGUCUAGCUAGAGGGUGAGAGACGAUGGUGGAAUUCCAGGUGUAGGGGUGAAAUCCGUAGAUAUCUGGAGGAACAUCGGUGGCGAAGGCGGCCAUCUGGCUCACUUCUGACGCUGAGACGCAAAAGCGUGGGGAGCAAACAGGAUUAGAUACCCUGGUAGUCCACGCCCUAAAC
rnacentral:rRNA from 1 species